GACACAGAUGUUUUGCCCUGCGCAGGUGGCGAGAGCGGAGUUUCUCCUGCUGCACCCACAACGGCAGCACGAUGCUGGAGAGUGGCACCUACAACAAGUUCAGGACAGAGCUCAGCGACAUGCCUGCAGUUGUGGCCUGAUGGGAGUAGGAAGGAUACAGAGACCUGCUAUUUCACCGACAGCUGGAGAGCAGAGCCCCUCCCUGCCGUGGAAAUGCCAACCCGCCAUCAGCCACUGCACGGGGGUGGGAGCCACAGGACAGCAAAACGCAGGCAAAGGCAUCAGGGGGAGAGCAGUUGGCCAGGGAAUGGGUUCAGAAAUGCCUGGUGAAGAGCAGCUGUUUGCCUCUGUGAUCCUAGUGGAGAUGAGCACUGCCCUUGCUGGUUCUGUCCUGCUUGCCUACAGCUUUCCUUGUAAUCCCAUGCCUGACAAGGAUCGACCAGGGUGUAGGGGAGCACAGAUGAGGUUGUAGCUGUGAAGGAGCUGGGUACCAUGACAAGGUGCUUAAAUCCCCUUGGCAGCAGCCUUUUCGCUCUCAGAGUGUUGGUGUCCCACAGGGCAACAAUCUUGAUAUCCCUCCUGUUAUGCGCUAAACCUCUGUUUGUGCAUCUUUGUUUUGCACACACUGAAAACAUCUGAGCGUCCUGCUUGUCCUCGGCUGCCGGUGUUUCUCCAGUCAGACUGACUUCCUCUGCUCCACACACUCCCUCCCUACUGGCAGGUCUCCUCCAGCCCCAAGUGUGCACCAACCCCACCAUGAUGGUCCAGCGCUGCUGGCUGGUUUAUCAGGGUCUGCACCUCUCCAUAACACAGGCAGGGGAAGCCUACCAUUAGCCCUGCUGGGAUAGCCCCUUCCCCUUCUUGGCUGUGGGCAAGGGUGUUUCUUUCCAAAGGUGCUGAAGGGUGUUUUGGUGCCUUGGCGAUGUAACCACUGGGACUAUAACCAGGAGCACACACAUCAGGGGGUUUGUGCUACAUGUGACCUGGUCCCACCAAGUGUCCUGUUUGCUUUUCCCUUGGGAAGAUCUUUAUACUUGCUCUGCAUCCUGGCAUUUAUUCUGAUUUUUAUUACUCCUAGUGGCUGUUGGCACACAUGAGGAAGGGGGUCUACGCACAGCUCUGCCCUAUUCUGCAAGGGAGAUGUGAGCAUCUCUCAGGUUUAAGCCAUAAACUUCUACUUGAACAGAUAAUAA
rnacentral:lncRNA from 1 species